UACGAAGGGGGCUAGCGUUGCUCGGAAUCACUGGGCGUAAAGCGCACGUAGGCGGCUUUCUAAGUCAGGGGUGAAAUCCUGGAGCUCAACUCCAGAACUGCCCUUGAUACUGGGAAGCUCGAGUUCGGGAGAGGUGAGUGGAACUGCGAGUGUAGAGGUGAAAUUCGUAGAUAUUCGCAAGAACACCAGUGGCGAAGGCGGCUCACUGGCCCGAUACUGACGCUGAGGCACGAAAGCGUGGGGAGCAAACAGG
rnacentral:rRNA from 1 species